GGGACAGGCGGAGCGCUCAUGACGGGGCAGAAGGAGGAGCUCCAGGUCCUCGCUGAGGCUCUUCAAGCCAUCGGGGAAGAUCAGAGCCCAUCCUGCAGGAGCACACUGAUGCAGCUGGCCUUCAAAAGAAGAUCUGCAGGAUUCGUUCUUCUGCUGGAUCCGAAGAACUGACAUCCAUCAGCAAUUUCCAGCUCCCAUUGGAGAUGGGACCAGCUGCACAGCAGAAGGAACCAGCUGGAGCUCCAGUGCUCACAACUGAGCCUGUGGAAAGCUCCAGGAGCUCCUGCCAUCCCUCUCCCUGAUGGCAUCUCCCUCCCUGCAGCCCUCAGGCCCUGCCCAUCCCCCUUUUUACCUCCCAGUUCACCCCUUCCCUUCGCUUUCCCGUAAUAAAUAGUUUGGCUUUUCCGUGUUA